rnacentral:rRNA from 1 species
GACGAACGCUGGCGGCGUGCUUAACACAUGCAAGUCGAACGGUAAGGCCCUUCGGGGUACACGAGUGGCGAACGGGUGAGAAACACGUGGGUGAUCUGCCCUGCACUUCGGGAUAAGCCUGGGAAACUGGGUCUAAUACCGGAUAGGACCACUGCCUGCAUGGGUGGGGGUGGAAAGCUUUUGCGGUGUGGGAUGGGCCCGCGGCCUAUCAGCUUGUUGGUGGGGUGAUGGCCUACCAAGGCGACGACGGGUAGCCGGCCUGAGAGGGUGACCGGCCACACUGGGACUGAGAUACGGCCCAGACUCCUACGGGAGGCAGCAGUGGGGAAUAUUGCACAAUGGGAGCAAGCCUGAUGCAGCGACGCCGCGUGAGGGAUGACGGCCUUCGGGUUGUAAACCUCUUUCAGCACCGACGAAGCGCAAGUGACGGUAGGUGCAGAAGAAGGACCGGCCAACUACGUGCCAGCAGCCGCCGUAA